rnacentral:rRNA from 1 species
AUUGAACUCUGGCGGCAGGCCUAACACAUGCAAGUCGAACGAGUGGCGGACGGGUGAGUACUGUCUGGGCAACUGCCUGAUGGACUGGGAUAACUACUGGUAACGGUAGCUAAUACCGCAUACCCUCGGUUGUCCCCCGAUGGGCUUGGCUCGUAGUUGGGGUAACGGCUCACCUAGGCGACGAUCCCUAGCUGGUCUGAGAGGAUGACCAGCCACACUGGAACUGAGACACGGUCCAGACUCCGACGGGAGGCAGAAGUGGGGAAUAUUGCACAAUGGGCGCAAGCCUGAUGCAGCCAUGCCGCGUGUAUGAAGAAGGCCUUCGGGUUGUAAAGUACUUUCAGCGGGGAGGCGUUACCCGCAGAAGAAGCACCGGCUAACUCCGUGCCAGCAGCCGCGGUAAUAC